rnacentral:rRNA from 1 species
UACGUAGGGUGCAAGCGUUGUCCGGAAUUAUUGGGCGUAAAGAGCUCGUAGGCGGUUUGUCACGUCUGCUGUGAAAACUGGAGGCUCAACCUCCAGCUUGCAGUGGGUACGGGCAGACUAGAGUGCGGUAGGGGAGAUUGGAAUUCCUGGUGUAGCGGUGGAAUGCGCAGAUAUCAGGAGGAACACCGGUGGCGAAGGCGGGUCUCUGGGCCGAUACUGACGCUGAGGAGCGAAAGCGUGGGGAGCAAACAGG